rnacentral:rRNA from 1 species
UACAGAGGGUGCGAGCGUUGUUCGGAAUUAUUGGGCGUAAAGGGCGCGUAGGCGGUGCGGUAAGUCACCUGUGAAAUCUCCUGGCUCAACUGGGAGCUUGCAGGCGAAACUGCCGUGCUGGAGUGUGGGAGAGGUGAGUGGAAUUCCUGGUGUAGCGGUGAAAUGCGUAGAUAUCAGGAGGAACACCGGUGGUGUAGACGGCUCUCUGGACCGUAACUGACGCUGAGACACGAAAGCGUGGGUAGCAAACAGG